rnacentral:tRNA from 1 species
UCCCCCGUGGCGCAAUUGGAUAGCGCGUUAGACUGUUAAUAAGCAAAUCUAAAGGUUGGUGGUUCAAACCCACCCGGGGGAG